rnacentral:rRNA from 1 species
GACGAACGCUGGCGGCGUGCUUAACUCAUGCCAGUCGAACGGAAAGGCCCUGCUUUUGUGGGGUGCUCGAGUGGCGAACGGGUGAGUAACACGUGAGUAACCUGCCCUUGACUUUGGGAUAACUUCAGGAAACUGGGGCAAAUACCGGAUAGGAGCUCCUGCUGCAUGGUGGGGGUUGGAAAGUUUCGGCGGUUGGGGAUGGACUCGCGGCUUAUCAGCUUGUUGGUGGGGUAGUGGCUUACCAAGGCUUUGACGGGUAGCCGGCCUGAGAGGGUGACCGGCCACAUUGGGACUGAGAUACGGCCCAGACUCCUACGGGAGGCAGCAGUGGGGAAUAUUGCACAAUGGGCGGAAUCCUGAUGCAGCAACGCCGCGUGCGGGAUGACGGCCUUCGGGUUGUAAACCGCUUUCGCCUGUGACGAAGCGUGAGUGACGGUAAUGGGUAAAGAAGCACCGGCUAACUACGUG